CUUUAAAUAUUUGAAUGUCGCCGUAAGUAGGCGGUAAAGCUUUAGACCUGUGUGAAAGGUAGGGGAGGGUGCUGACCUGAGCCAGCUGCUCUGAGGUAUUUCCAUGCUCGGCCUGAGGAUGAAGCCAGCCCUGGGAGGUUUGCUGUGCUGAGCAGAGAACAGACCCUGCAUCGCAGCUCCUUCACCCUCACUGGCAAACAGAAUGAGGAGGUACUACUUCUAAACUGACAUAGCAGGAUAGAUGCAACUUCUUUAUUAGAGCCUGUUUUUCCACUGGAGGAGGAGGAUGUUUCUGCUCUCUGGGGAAGUGUGGAAGCUCAGCGAGGAUAACCCCGUGACUGCAGAUGAAUACCCGUAUUGAUAAAUCUAGCAACUGAUAACUGAAGAAAUAUGCUUCAAAUUUGAAAUAUGCUUUGCAGAUGAAGUUCAGCUGUCCCAAAGUUGCAUGAAUGAGCAUCCUUUCUGCUUGCAGAAAUCUUGUCAAGGUGAGUGUCGGUAUUGCUAGGGUGGAGAUACAAGCCACACAAGGCAAAAAAAACAACCAACCAAAAAAAAAAACCAACCCAAAAAGCAACAACAACAAAAGGGAUGAAGCUGGAGAAGGAAGGUGAGCUUGUCAAAGCCUGUAGAGAAGAAGUGAGGAUAAUUAAUCAGACAAAUGGAGAGAGAGCAGGUGUGCAGAGGGAAUAGUCUGGUGGGAGCAAAAAGCAGUGGAAUGAAAAUGAAUGUCAGAAGAGCUCAUCUUCUUCCUGACCAAGCUGACUGGGAAAUGCUAACUGUAAUUAUGUGAAAAUGAUACAGCUGAUGGAUCUCUAGUAAUAACAGCCUGAAAUAUUACCCAAGUCUACCCAGAGAGUAAGAGCAAGAAGAAACACAAAAGUGCAUGAAUUGGGCCCUCUUGGGUUGGGGUACGUACGGUACCAUGAGGUACAGCCCUCCAACCGGACUCGGUGGCGCUGAUCACAGCCCUCUGAGCUUGGACAGUCGGCCAGUUCUCCAUCUGCCUCACUGACCAUUCAUCAAUCCCACGUCCUAAGCUUCUUUAGAAGGAUGUUGUGAGAGAGAGUGUCAUAAGCCUUGCUGAGGUCAAGGUACACAACAUCCAUUUCUCCUCCCCUCGUCUACCCGGAUGGUGAUGACAUUGCAGAAGGCUGCCAGUUUGGCUGAGCAUGGUUUCCCCUUGGUGAAUCCAUGUUGACUACUCCUGAUAACCUUCUUCUCUUCUGUUUGCUUGGAUAUGGCAUCCAAAAUAAGCUGGUCCAUCAUUUUACAUUGAACUUUAUAUGCCAGGGUAUCAGAUAUGCUUCCAUCCAAAGGAUUUCAUCAGUUCCCCAUAAUGUGAAAGUAGAAGAACAUCUUUCCUGUAUUAAAAAUAUUAGGAAUUUAAUCCAUCAGAAUUUACUCCUUGUGAAAGAAACAACUUCUUCCAUUUGCAUCAUCCCUACUUGAGAUUUUUAAGCAUCCUUAAACAGCCAUUCUUUGUACCAGAUGACAAUCUGAACUCUGCACCCAACCUUGGCAUCUGCGGUCAUGACAUCAACAAGGAAAGUACCUCUCCUACAGACUGAGCUGCUGUUUGCAUGUCUGUAACAGCUAGACAGCAUCUUGAGGAGCUCUAGGUCAAAGGGUGAUGGCCAGAUACAAAGCAGUCUGCGGGUCCUUCACACGUGGGUUAACCAACAUGGCUCGCUCGAGCUUUCUUCAGAGGCGUGGAAUCAGGACUCCGUGCCCUUGCCAGAAGGAAGGGAAGUGGAGCAGAGGUGCAGUCCGAGGGAGAAGACUUGCGAGCCCCGAAGGGAGCAGGGCCGUGCCGGGCCGCGAGUGCCUCCCGCCCGCGACAGCACCAUGGAGAGCGCCCGGGGAGCCGCGCCGCACCGCAGAGUACCGGACCGUACAGCAAAAUGGCCGCUGCUCCGCGUCUCGCCGUGCAAGUGGGCUCACGCGGGCUGGGGCCAGCGAGCUGGUAGGAACGUGUUCCUGCCCGCACCUUCCAGCCAGCUCGGAGGGAAAUCGAUCUGCUCUCUUUCCACAAGUCAGCAGUGUGUGUAAAGGGUAUGCAGCAAGCCACUAAGUCUGCAGUUGCUAUUCUCUACGAACCAAGGUUUGGUUGUCCCCAAACAAAGCAACACCAUUAGAGCACUUAAAUAAAUACAUGCACAAAUAAAUCUGGCUCUGCGUUCAUCCGUAGAUACUUGGCUAGGUUAAAGUCAGCCUCUGAGACAGCAACCCUGAUGCACUUCCAAGAGUGAUGAAACUGCUGCUCGGGUGGUUUCACUCAAUUUCUCAUAAUCAAAUAUAUCUUUCAAGGCAAUAAAUAAGUAUAAGAAAUAUCUAACCUCAGAAAUGAAAGUCCAACAAACAAAAAGACCAAAAAGAAAAAAAAAAAAGCCACGCUCAGAAGAAGAGUUUGCAAAUAUUUCUGAACUCUCAUUUCAAAAAUGACAGGAGCUAAUUGUUGCUUUGGUCGUGCUGCUUGUAUCCUGAAUGUUAAAAGGAAUUAAUAGGAAAAGGUAUCAAUUUGUCACAACAGUGCUAAUUAAUGUUUUACAUUUUUUUUCUCUCUUUUAAUAGAUAAUUUGCUGUAAUGAGUAUAUCAGGGCUAAGUGAGAAUGGGGCUGCAAUAGUGUUUUUCUCAAAUUUCUGAAGUUAUUUAACCUACUCUCAGUAUUAACCUACUGCAGGGACCCUGCUUUAGCUGGGGAGUUGGACUCAAACUCCGACCGCUACCAUUUUGUGGUUCUGUGAUUCAUGAUGCAUGAAGAUUCAAAUGAAAAAUGUCCCUUUUUAUAAAUUGAAGAACAAGGUUUCUUUAGUAUCAGGAAAAUGUUUAUUCAGCACGAGCUGUGGUGUAUUAUAAAUAAAGGUCCAGCUGACUUAAAAAUUACCACCUGCACUGAAUUUUUCAUAAUUAUACUUGAUGUAUGCUAUUGGUAUUGAAACAUUCGUCAAUCCGUUCUCUACUUCUGUGCUUAAAACAAUAUAAAAUAUUUGUCUGACUUAAUUCAGACACCUUCAAGGCAAGCAACGUAGAAACUUACAAACUGUUUCAUAUUGGCAUAAAAGCAUCGAUCUGUCUUUGUUCUUAUGCAAGUCCUGCUCUU
ensembl:lncRNA